rnacentral:rRNA from 1 species
UACGUAGGCAGCGAGCGUUGUCCGGAUUUAUUGGGCGUAAAGAGCGUGUAGGCGGCCAGGUAGGUCCGUUGUGAAAACUGGAGGCUUAACCUCCAGCUGUCGAUGGAAACCAUCUGGCUAGAGUCCGGAAGAGGAGAGUGGAAUUCCUGGUGUAGCGGUGAAAUGCGCAGAUAUCAGGAAGAACACCCGUGGCGAAGGCGGCUCUCUGGGACGGUACUGACGCUGAGACGCGAAAGCGUGGGGAGCGAACAGG